rnacentral:misc_RNA from 1 species
UCUGUUCUUAGGCUCCUCCGGGGAGAUGCAAUUUAGUCUUGUCCUUUUAUCUUAAAUAAAAAGAAACAAUUUUCAAUUUUCUUUUCCGAAGGUGGAGAUGGGAGAAAUCAAAGAUAGUAUAGGAAAAUGGUUUAUGCCAAUCUCAAGAUCACUAACUAACCAAGAAACUAAAAACGACCUAAGACGCCUCAUUGCCUCAACCUCUUUUCCAACUGGGUCUUUCAGAAACUACAAGACUAUAACUGAGCUCAAGCAACAUCACCGUCCAAUCAUAAAAAUGGCCUAUAUCAUAACCCAACUUCGACGACCAACUUCAACUUAUUCACCAAAAUGAGCAAUGUCAAAAACAUACAACCGAGAAAUCAAUGGGGGCGAUAAUAACAGGUUCCAAUUUUUUUCAGCAAUGUUCUGUUCUCGAAGCAAUUGUAGGUAAUUGAAGUGUAUGAGAGGUAAAUAUCGAUUUAUAACUUUCAUACCCCAAUGACUAUAUUUUUGAUGCUGUUAAGCUACAGAUAUUUGCCUUCUUUAAUUGAAAAAAUGCAACUGAAAUUGUCUGCUUGAACAAAGAAUGAAACCCGCAAUUCUCAGCCUUCAAGUCAAGGGAACACUAUUUAAAAUCAAGAAGGGUGAGAGCAUAUGCUAACUACAAGCAUCUAUGCAAGAAGAAAUUAAAAAGAAAUAUUCAAAAAAAAAAACAGUAAAUAACAAAAACAAGAGUUUCUAGUUCAAUUCAUAUAAAGAAUAUACAUAUCAAAGCCCGUACCUCAGAAAUAAAAAAGGCCCAUGAUGAUAAUGCUUCAUAAUUUUGGGAAAAUGGAGUCAACAAAAGAAUGGUGCAUUGGAUCCUUCAGCCAAAGUUUAGCUAUAUGAUGAUGAGAUGAGGUACGCCUGUGAAUUUCUUCAACAAGCCAAAUGGUUGCUUCAGCCUUACAAGGAUGAAUCACAAUAUCCAAGGGCUUUUGUUCAUCCUCACUAGCAGCUCUCAGAUGAUCCCACUCUUUUAGAUGAAUGUUGGUGAGGUAAUGCAAAGGUUGCCCAUAUAAUUGCUUAAUUGAUUUGCCUAAUCCCACCCAUGAUGAAAAUGGAAUGACAGAGCCAUGAUGUGUUGGGAUGGGGAGUUGACUCAUAUAUUGUUGAUACAUUUCUGCUCUUCUGCUCAGCAUACCUGGAACAUAAAGCACGUUGUAUGUUGUGAGAUUAAAAGCAAAGAGAAAUAUUUGGGCUCAAACAAUCAAACAUAUAAAAUGGAAGUACAAGAUUUUACCCCUUCUUUCACCGAGAAGAUGAUCUAUGUAAAUGCGUAACUCAUAUUAACUCAGACACAAGAGUAUAAAAUUAUAACAUUGUCAGCUAGACUACAAAUUCCUUUAUAACUUAUUUAAAAGAAAAAAAAAAAAAACACUAGACCAAGUUGCUUUGCCACAGAACCAACAAAUAAAAAUGUUAACCAAAUAAAAUAUAACCAGGGUCUAAUUCCAACUACCCUCAGAUGUCAUUUCUGUUGUAGGUUGAUCAAGUGUAAUAUUAGGGGACAGUUGCUUCCCAUCAACUCCAUCAUUAAUCUCAAUAUCUCCAUCCGAUGAAGAAGAUUCAUCUGAUGAUAUAACAUCAAUCUGCUCAUUCCAUGGCAUUGUCCUCUUCAUGGUACAUACAAUUCAACCCUGAGGUUGAUGUACCUAGCAGUUUGAUCGGAUGGAGUGAGAGUCUGAGAGAGACCAACGUUAGGGUUGGGUUUAUGAGGGCGAGACUGAGAGGCAGGCCGCAGAGAGAGUCGGACAGAGGAGAAGGGGGGUGGGGGGGAAGCC